CUUGUACACACCGCCCGUCACACCACGAGAGUUUGUAACACCCGAAGUCGGUGAGGUAACCUUUUGGAGCCAGCCGCCGAAGGUGGGACAGAUGAUUGGGGUGAAGUCGUAACAAGGUAGCCGUAUCGGAAGGUGCGGCUGGAUCACCUCCUUUCUAAGGA
rnacentral:rRNA from 1 species